rnacentral:rRNA from 1 species
GAUCUCCUACGGGACGCAGCAGUGGGGAAUAUUGCACAAUGGGGGAAACCCUGAUGCAGCGACGCCGCGUGAGUGAAGAAGUAUUUCGGUAUGUAAAGCUCUAUCAGCAGGGAAGAUAAUGACGGUACCUGACUAAGAAGCCCCGGCUAACUACGUGCCAGCAGCCGCGGUAAUACGUAGGGGGCAAGCGUUAUCCGGAUUUACUGGGUGUAAAGGGAGCGUAGACGGCAUGGCAAGUCUGAUGUGAAAACCCGGGGCUCAACCCCGGGACUGCAUUGGAAACUGUCAGGCUAGAGUGUCGGAGG